rnacentral:rRNA from 1 species
GGCGAACGGGUGAGUGACGCGUAAGUAUCUACCCUGUGGUGGAGGAUACCCAUGGGAAACCGUGGUUAAUCCUGCAUAUUCUCUUCGGAGGAAAGACGGCCUCUUGCUGUCGCCAAAGGAUGAGCUUGCGUCCUAUUAGCUUGUUGGUGGGGUAAAGGCCUACCAAGGCAAUGAUGGGUAGCCGGCCUGAGAGGGUGUACGGCCACACUGGGACUGAGAUACGGCCCAGACUCCUACGGGAGGCAGCAGUAGGGAAUUUUGCGCAAUGGGCGAAAGCCUGACGCAGCGACGCCGCGUGGAGGAUGAAGGUCUUCGGAUCGUAAACUCCUGUUAAAUGGAAAGAAAGACCUUUGCUUAAUACGCAAAGGGGAUGACGGUACCAUUAGAGAAAGUCCCGGCUAACUUCGUGCCAGCAGCCGCGGUAAUACGAGGGGGACUAGCGUUAUUCGGAGUUACUGGGCGUAAAGAGCAUGUAGGCGGCUUUUUAAGUCAGCUGUUAAAUCCCACGGCCUAACCGUGGGCUCGCGGUUGAUACUGGAAAGCUAGAG